rnacentral:tRNA from 1 species
GCUUAGGAAACUAAGUUGAGUAAAGUAAAAUCCUUUUCUCAGUAAUGAGAGUACGGGUUCGAGUCCCGUUCUGGGCA